UACGUAGGGUGCGAGCGUUGUCCGGAAUUAUUGGCGUAAAGAGCUUGUAGGCGGUUUGUCGCGUCUGCUGUGAAAUCUCAAGGCUCAACCUUGAGCUUGCAGUGGGUACGGGCAGACUAGAGUGUGGUAGGGGAGACUGGAAUUCCUGGUGUAGCGGUUGAAAUGACGCAGAUAUCGAGGAGGAACAGCCGAUGGCGAAGGCAGGUCUCUGGGCCACU
rnacentral:rRNA from 1 species